rnacentral:rRNA from 1 species
GGAUUAGAUACCCUGGUAGUCCACGCCGUAAACGAUGUCUACUAGCCGUUGGGAUCCUUGAGAUCUUAGUGGCGCAGCUAACGCACUAAGUAGACCGCCUGGGGAGUACGGUCGCAAGAUUAAAACUCAAAUGAAUUGACGGGGGCCCGCACAAGCGGUGGAGCAUGUGGUUUAAUUCGAAGCAACGCGAAGAACCUUACCUACUCUUGACAUCCACAGAACUUUGCAGAGAUGCAUUGGUGCCUUCGGGAACUGUGAGACAGGUGCUGCAUGGCUGUCGUCAGCUCGUGCCG